rnacentral:lncRNA from 1 species
UUUUUUUUUAUUUUUAUUUUUUUUUUGCUGGGCUGUCCUUCCAGAUCCUCCUGUGGGGAGGCAAUUUUCCCUUCGAACCCUCUUCUACUACAAAAGAGUAAACUUGAGUCCAGACCAGGGAGGCAAGUUUCCAUCUCUUGUCUCACAGUGAGUUGGUUAACAAAGAAGGAAUGGGCAAAGGAUAGAUCAAGAGGUAGAUAAAUGAAAAUGUUCCAAGAAUAUUAGAGCGGAUAAAGAAAUACCCAGCACAGAGGCCCUGACGCCUUUGUCUCUCGGAACAAGACUUUGUCAUGUUGGUGUUUGCAAUUUCAUUUGUUCUUAAGUCCUAGCUUAGAGAGACAAAUGUGAAGCCUCUUAAAAUCCAACGUAGGUGAUUCUCUUACCUCUCAGAAGCCUGGGCCCUUAUUAGUAGGAGUCAGUGCAGAUACAGCGUGACUCUCCUCUCUCACCUUUUAUAUACUUUGUGCCAGAUCCUGAUGCCACACAACUCAAAGUGGAGAGUGCCCACGGAUGGGCAAAGACUGGCUUUAGAUGCCUCCUCUUAACAGUCCCUAGAAUUACACUCUAAACCGUGGGUGCAAAAUAAUGUUCUGAAGUGACACUACUGGGGCAACUUCAUCUAUGCCAGGGCUGGAAAAGAACCAAAAUUUUAAGAGAAAUCAUGGAUCUUGGAAGCAUAACUUCUUUCCCGUGUAGCACGUCUCUCCAAGUAUUUAAGUCGUAUGAGCACAUCACAGAAAACGUGACAGUCUGUGUCACCUUCAAAUCUUCCCAGGUAGGGAGAGAGCCAAGAACCCAUCAAUCCUAGAAACAUUAGAAGAGCCACAGGAAAAGCUUUCUGGAUCUUUCAGGCCUGAGUUCAAAUCCUUUGCAACAAUUUAUCUGUGUGACCUUGGGUCUCCAGUUUACGAGGCUGGGAAGAGGCGAUGAGGUAAUCCCUGGAAGGCCAAGUCCAGGGCACUCCACAUGCCCUUCACCAAACUUCAAUCCCCACUCCUCAUCGAGACGAUCUGUAGCAAGUCUCAUGAAUCUACCCUUCAACGCCUCUUACCUCCCUACGCCCCUACAACAGAGCAGUGGAAUCUCUGCUCAAAACCCUGCUGGUUCACCUAUUAACUGCGCAGCACUGGGGAAAGUCAUUUAACUACCUCGAGUCUUGGUUUCUAUGUUUUACAAAUGGGGAUAAUUAUAGUCUCUACCUCACUAAAGUUGUGGCAAGGGCGGACUGAGAUAAUUUACGGGAAGUGCUGCGCCCGGUGUGUGCAUAUAGUAAAUGCUCAGUGCACAUCAGCGAUUGUGAUUCGGCUGCCACCCUAGGUGCUGCUUCAUCAUCUCUGUUGUAAUCCCCUUCCUGCUGGCUUCCCUGUUUAGGAUCUCUGUUCUUUCUAUCAGUAAUUCUCAAUGCUGUUCCAGAAAUCAUUUAAUAAAGCAUUCAACACAUCACUCCCCUACUCCAAACCCUUCAAAGGCUCCCUAGGGCCUAGGGAUUGAAGUCCAAAGUGCUGAAUUUGGCAUUCAGCAUACUCCAGAGUCCCAACCUUAUUACCCUGCAGGCAUACUCUGCCCACUGUCGCUUGCUGGCAUACUGUGCUCGGGAAAAUCCAGGCUGUGCCUUCACCUCCUGGUGUUUCUGUUCACAUGGCUUUCUCCAGAAUGCUGAAAUGUGAUAGUCGGAAAGCACCAAGUCAACGGAUUUGUGGAAGAUUGGGAGCCAGACCAUUUUCGAGCUGGAAAAGGCCCCAAUGGCCACUUUACAGAUGAGGAAACUGAGGUUAAUUGGCCUGCCCAAGGCCACACAGCUAUUCAUCAGCAAUGUCAGAGUGGCACUAGGCUGGUCCGCCUAGAGGGAGGGAAUCACCAGGCAGCCUAUUAGGGAUAAUUCAUCAGCAAUUGGCAGCAAACUUGCUGACAGGUGAUCUUACUCCAUUCGUGAGAAAUGAGAUGUUAUGCAGCCAAUAGGCAAAGGACCCAAGGCAUGCCUCUCUAAGUGAAAACUGGGUGCCUCUCUGGAUUGUAAUGCAGAGCACGAGAGCAAUGGGGUUGAUGGGGAGAGGGCAGCCGAAAUAAUUCCAUAGGACCCAUCCCUUACUUCAAAGACACAUCCUCUCGGGCUGCAUUAGUCUCCUGACUAAUGCUCCCAAAUGCACUGCUGAGAUUUGCUGAAGUUGAAGAUUCUUUGCGAUGUUUGCGGUAGGAGCAGUGAUGAAUAAAACACAAGAAUCACCAAUGUAUUAUUUCGAAGGCUAGAGUGCCCAGCUUUAACUGCUACGCUGCAAUUUUUACUCUAAGAUAAUAAUACUAAUAGUGACACUUCAUUUAUAUAGUGCUCCUUAGGUUCCCAAGAAUAAUAUAACAAUGAAAACUAUAUCUUAUACUACAGUUGUGUCUGUAUAUGAAGCAUAUAAUGGAGCAAGCCAGUUCAAGAGCAAUCUCCCAUCACUAUUGGGAUACUUGAGGUCAAAAUGUUCUGCGUUGGAAGUGUUUGCAUUAAAUAACCUCCGAUUUUUCAGCUUGGGUUUGGAUUUUAAAUACGGUUUUGCUGCUACUGCCCAUGAAAUAUUUCAUAAAACCUUUAAAUAUGUUUUUAAACAUUUAAAACCUUUAAGUACGCAUGCUUUAAUAGGUAACUAGAAAGUUGAUACCUACUAACACAGCUACCCGCCCAGCUUCACCUCUCUGGUUAGUCAUCUGUGGUUUGUGGUCUGGAUUCGGGUCCACAGUGACCAGUCAGGAAGCAGGACAUAGAGGACUUGAAAUGCAUGGCUCCACGAGUCCUGGGCAGCAUGGUGAUAACAGAGUCAGGUGUAGGCAAGGGGCCUCAUCAGCCACAAAACCGAAGCCAUUCGAUAUUCAACUACCUGGCCCAUUAGGCAGUUCUGACAUUCUGAGCUUGCCCUGAAGGCUUCCCUCUCUGGAAGGGUGAUUUCCUAGAAAGGUGGGUCAGGAAAGUGAUCUUGGGAUGGUAUGAGGCCCACCUCAGAGGCAGCUUUUACCUGUCUGUCCUUGCUGCUCCAAAUCGCCUCGCUGUCUGGGCUCCGACAGCUGUCACCUGAUCAUCUUAUCCUUGGGCCAACACAGAGGCCCUGCUGCCAGGAGCUGGGUACGGGAGCUGUUCCCUCCAGAAGGGGGAUGUGACUUGGGGCUACUAGCUCAUUCUAUGGGGGCAUCUUUC